UACGUAGGGGGCUAGCGUUGUCCGGAUUUAUUGGGCGUAAAGAGCGUGUAGGCGGCCAUGUAGGUCCGGUGUGAAAACUCGAGGCUUAACCUCGAGAUGUCAUCGGAAACCAUUUGGCUAGAGUCCGGAAGAGGAGAGUGGAAUUCCUGGUGUAGCGGUGAAAUGCGCAGAUAUCGAGAGGAACACCUGCGGCGAAGGCGGGUUGCUGGGCUGAUACUGACGCUGAGGCGCGAAAGCCAGGGGAGCGAACGGG
rnacentral:rRNA from 1 species